AAUUGCAUUAAAGUAUAUAUUUCGGACUUUGGACCGAAACACAAACUUAAAUCACUAAAAUUCACUGAGGUGAUUUCCGUUGGUGCUGAAAGUUUCCUCAAACUGGAAAUCAAAACAUUAUAUAUACGAAGGGUAUUUUAUUUUAAUUUGAGAGCAACCAGCUUGACUUCUACUUUUUCACCAAAAAAGAAAAGAAUUGACCAGUUUAUAAAGAAGAUGUGCCGAAAACGGAUACAUCGGUGACACAUGCACACACCAGCCCCGAGGUUGCGCACCAACUCAGCCAACCACACAUCCACCCAAGUGAGAAGAGAGGACGCCCCACAACACAAGGCCGGGUUACCGAGCUGUCGCUGUGUCGUCUACAACAUUAUUGAGGCCACACAACAACCUAAUUGAUGGUUCUGCCACCAUAAUGACCAGAGCUUACACCCUCACACAAGUGAAUACUGCAGCUGCCGCUCCAACUUUCACAGCGGCCUCAAGGUCACUAGUCAAUCUAGUAGUUUGUUCUACCGCCCAAGUGAUCGAAGCCAACAAAACAGGCAGAAGAUUUCUAGAGUUGUCAUUCGACUUCCACACUGACCCUAAGUUUCCGCACUCACAUAUUCGGCGAUGAAGCUAACAAAGAGGCAAUAAUCAUGAAGGACUAAUGACAGACCCGACAUCCAAGACAUUGGCCUCGAGGAAGAGUCGACGGCAAAUUCCACCGAACGCCGCUCCAAAAAAAUGGCAAAGCUUGGUGUUUUGCCAGGAAAGCCCGAGACCGACAAUGGUGUAGAAGGUUAAGGGGUUCUACGAUGGCGCCUCCAAUGACGGAACAACGUCUGAGACUCUCUAGACGUAGUCAUCGAUCGAGGUCGAGCUAGAUCUCACAAGAGUUCACCGAACCUACAAUCAUAAUGGUGAGCCCAGUCACACACCACCAAUAGCGGCCAAGAACGCUAUGCACCUCCGACCCUCCAACCAACACAUACAUGGCUAGCAACAUCACCAAGGCCCUUCACGUCUCCAUGACAGCCCUGCUCGUAUCCCAAGUUCAGAACCGUCGUGCUGCCAUAUCCUCCAUUCUCAUUGUUGCAGAAAUUGUUGGAAAUAUGCCCUAGAGGCAAUAAUAAAAUGGUUAUCAUUAUAUUUCCUUGUUCAUGAUAAUUGUCUAUUGUUGAUGCUAUAAUUGUAUUAACCGGA
rnacentral:lncRNA from 1 species